rnacentral:lncRNA from 1 species
UUUGAGGAUGUGGCUAUGAAAUUUACUUAGAAGGAGUAGGCUUUCCUGGCUCCUGCUCAAAGGAGCCCCUACAGAGAUGUGAUGCUGGAAAAAUGCUGUAGGAAUCUGGCCUCAGUAGAUUGUGAGAUUCAACUUAAAACCCAUGAGUCAGUUGUUCAGCAGGAUAUUCAUGAAGAAAAAAAUUCCAAUGAACAGAAAGUAGUAAGAAUAACAAGGAAUAACUCCUGGUUCUCCAUUUUAGGAGAAAACUGGGAAUAUCAUGUCAUUAAAAUUCAGCACAGAACAAGGAGAGACAUUUGAGAAGCCAUAUGUAGAUAGCAUCUAUAAAAGUAAUGAAUGUAAUCAGUGUGGAAAAAACUUCAGGCAUUUUCCAAACCUUAGUGUGCUGAAGAGAACCCCUGUUGGGGUCAAAGCCUAUAAAAGUGUAUGUGGAAAAGCCUUUAUGGAUCAUUCCUCCCUUAAGAAUCAUGUCAGAUCUCACCUGCACACAAACUCUAUCAUUGUAAGGAAUGUGGACAAGCCUGCUGUUGUUGCUCAUAUUUAAGGAUUUCUCUAAGUAGUCAUGAUGGAGAUAAAUGCUAUAAAUGCAAGGAAUGCUGGGAAGGCUUCACAGUGGAGAGAAGGCUUAUGAAUGUAAAAAUUGUAGAAAGAUCCUUAAUGAGUUUUUAAAAUUUACAAGUGAGAACACACAAUGGAGACAAACUGUCAAGAUUUAACGAAUAUGACCAAGAUUUUGUUGUACUAUAUACCUUAAGACAUGUGAGAAUUCACACUAGAGAAAACACACGAGGGAGAGCCUUCACUAAUUGCUUAUUUGUUAUUGUACAUGUGAGAGGUCACUCUGUAGAUAAAUUAUAUGACUGUAGAGUUGGAAUUUAUCCAUAAGUCAUUUUCAAAUCUUAGGUAACAUGUGAGAUCUCAGGCUAUGGAGAGACCCUAUAAAUAUGCAAAACAUAGGAAAGUCUUUAGU